rnacentral:rRNA from 1 species
GACGAACGCUGGCGGCGUGCUUAACACAUGCAAGUCGAACGGAAAGGCCCUGCUUUUGUGGGGUGCUCGAGUGGCGAACGGGUGAGUAACACGUGAGUAACCUGCCCUUGACUUUGGGAUAACUUCAGGAAACUGGGGCUAAUACCGGAUAGGAGCUCCUGCUGCACGGUGGGGGUUGGAAAGUUUCGGCGGUUGGGGAUGGACUCGCGGCUUAUCCGCUUGUUGGUGGGGUAGUGGCUUACCAAGGCUUUGACGGGUAGCCGGCCUGAGAGGGUGACCGGCCACAUUGGGACUGAGGUACGGCCCAGACUCCUACGGGAGGCAGCAGUGGGGAAUAUUGCACAAUGGGCGGAAGCCUGAUGCAGCAACGCCGCGUGCGGGAUGACGGCCUUCGGGUUGUAAACCGCUUUCGCAUGUGACGAAGCGUGAGUGACGGUAAUGGGUAAAGAAGCACCGGCUAACUACGUG